AGGAGUGCAAUUUCUGGGGCCGAAGAGGACAUAGGGCAACGAUGAUCGCCCCGCAGCCACUGGAAUCGCCCAAGAUUCCGAGGAGGGUCACUUCACCACCGAAGGGGGACGUUAGGCAACGAAGGUCGCAGCCAGAAUUCUAGCCCAAAAUUUCAAGGAGGGUUGGCAACACCACCGACGAGGAUAACAGGACGUCGGAGAUCGUCGCUGAAGUAGCCAAGAAUUGCCAGGUAUUGCUUUAACAAUCUUAAGUGUCUAAUCGUUAUUUUUUACGUAUUUUAGGGUGGUCAACAUCACCGAAGAAGGUCACCGGACAACGAGGUUCGCCGUCGGAGCCACCUUGAUCGUCGCCCAAAAUUGUCAAGAGGGCUACAUCACCAUCGAAGAAGAUGCGGGACAUCGAGGAGCGCCGCUGGAGCAACGAGAAUGUCGGCAUGGAGUGCAUCACCACCGCCAAAGAGGAUGCUGGACGCCGAAGAGGAUGCUGGAGCACCGACAUCGUCUUCAUAGAUGUUACAGGUAUAUGUGUUACACGUUUAAUUGUCUAACCAUGUUUUUUUUUGUAUUUUAGAGGGUUGCAUCAUCGCUAAGGAGAACCACUGGACAACGAGGUUCGUCGUCGGAGGCAUCAUAAUUGUCGCCCAAAAUUAUCAAAAGGGCCCCGCCACCAUUGAAAAGGAUGUAGGAUGCCGUCGGAGUCACCAUGAUCGGCGCCCAAAAUUGUCAUGAGGGCCCUACCACCAUCGAAGAGGAUGCUGGGCAUCGAGGAUCGCCGCUGGAGCAACGAAAUCGUUGCCAUGGAUAUAGCAGGUAUAUGUUUAUACGUUAUAUUGUCUAAUCAUUUUUUUUAUGUAUUUAGAAUGGCC